rnacentral:lncRNA from 1 species
CCAAGUCCGCCCCCCAUCUCCUCAUUUCUCCGCCUCAACCAUCUCCAACUCGCCCGAAUCACCCCUAAAACCUAGCGAAUCGACUCGCUUAGUUUGUUGGUCUCCCCCCUCUCUUCUCGUUCUUUCACGUGGAAAAAUCCCAACGAAUCUCAUCAUUACCAUCCAAAACGCAUUUUGAUUUCUCUCCUGGACAGAUUUUGGAUUAAUGGCGGACGUAGGAUUUGAGUACCUUAAAUCCUAUCCUUCCAUUUAUCCCGAAAAUUGUUCAAAAAAGGAGAAAACAAGGUGGAUUUUUGAGAUUUAAGAAAAGGGGGUAAUUUUCGGAUUUCUUGGGGAGAAAGUCUAGGGUUUUN